rnacentral:rRNA from 1 species
UACGUAGGGUGCGAGCGUUGUCCGGAAUUAUUGGGCGUAAAGGGCGCGUAGGCGGUCUCUUAAGCGUGUGGUGAAAGCCCGGGGCUCAACUCCGGGUCGGCCGUGCGAACUGGGGGACUGGAGCUUGUCAGAGGCAGGCGGAAUUCCGGGUGUAGCGGUGGAAUGCGUAGAGAUCCGGAAGAACACCGGUGGCGAAGGCGGCCUGCUGGGACAGUGCUGACGCUGAGGCGCGACAGCGUGGGGAGCAAACAGG